ACAGGUUGUAAGUCAAUGGCGAAACACGUAUCGCGAUCACUGUAGUAGCCAGCUCCGGUCGGUAGACCUGCCCAGUACGGGAAAAUGCGGGUUCGAGUCCCGCCGCCUGUC
rnacentral:tRNA from 1 species